rnacentral:rRNA from 1 species
ACGCGAAGAACCUUACCAACACUUGACAUGUUCGUCGCGACUCUAAGAGAUUAGAGUUUUCGGUUCGGCCGGACGAAACACAGGUGCUGCAUGGCUGUCGUCAGCUCGUGUCGUGAGAUGUUGGGUUAAGUCCCGCAACGAGCGCAACCCUCACUUUUAGUUGCCAUCAUUAAGUUGGGCACUCUGAAAGAACUGCCAGUGAUAAGCUGGAGGAAGGUGGGGAUGACGUCAAGUCCUCAUGGCCCUUACGUGUUGGGCUACACACGUGCUACAAUGGUAUCUACAACAGGAAGCAAAACUGCGAAGUUAAGCAAAUCCCUAAAAGAUACCUCAGUUCGGAUUGCACUCUGCAACUCGAGUGCAUGAAGCUGGAAUUACUAGUAAUCGUGGAUCAGCGUGCCACGGUGAAUGCGUUCCCGGGUCUUGUACACACCGAAU